rnacentral:lncRNA from 1 species
CAUAAAUUAGGCAUGUAAGAGUUAAGAGGAAUGGGGGAAGAAAAAUAUUUGUCGCAAAUAAAUCCCAUGCAUUAUCCCCUAGUCUUUCACAAAGAAUAAAUUCUUCAUAUAGAAGUUCUAGGUGUGGAAGAGCCUUCAAACAGAAGGAUGACUCCACUUCUGUGCCAACACAUCUCUAGGAGCCAUCACAUGGUGCAUGGAGUAAA